UGUGGUGCAUAAUCUUCCUGAGGCUGAUGGGAGUGCUGUUGAGGCCCUAAUGCCUGGAGGCCGUAUCUAACCCUUUGAGCUUGGAGGCAGAAGAGUUUAUCAGCUAUGAAAACAAGUUUCCUGCUCAUUUGCCCUCAAGAGGUAGAAGGUGAAUCUGAUUCUCUUCAGGCAGCUCAGCUCGGACAGAGCGGAGGACCCCAGACCUUAAUGGUGCUUCAUGUGAUGGAGAAACUGUCUCUGUGCUUAUUGCAAACGAGGAAGCUGUCUCGCCUUGCAGACGUGGCCUGGAAGCUGUGCUUAGCCUGUAACUGAAUUUGAACUUGUCUCAGAAUUUAUUCCUUUCUAUUGCACCUUUGCAGCCCAUUUAACCUUUUUAAGUGAUUUUUUAUCCAACAGUAAAUAUGAAAUAUUAUUGUA